CAUAUCAUGUUAAAACACUGGUUCUCAUAUGAUCACUGAAGUUAAGCUAUGUUGAGCCUGGUCAGUAGAUAGAUGGGUGACUGCUUGAGAAUAGCAG